rnacentral:rRNA from 1 species
UGGGGAAUCUUGCACAAUGGGGGCAACCCUGAUGCAGCGACGCCGCGUGAGCGAUGAAGCCCUUCGGGGCGUAAAGCUCUUUCGACCGGAACGAUAAUGACGGUACCGGGAGAAGAAGCUGCGGCUAACUACGUGCCAGCAGCCGCGGUAAUACGUAGGCAGCAAGCGUUGUUCGGAGUUACUGGGCGUAAAGAGUGCGUAGGCGGUUUUCUAAGUUCGGUGUGAAAUCUCCCGGCUUAACUGGGAGGGUGCGCCGAAGACUGGGAAGCUGGAGUGUGGGAAAGGCAGGCGGAAUUCCUGGUGUAGCGGUGAAAUGCGUAGAUAUCUGGAAGAACACCAGUGGCGAAGGCGGUCAACUGGCCCAUAACUGACGCUCAUGCACGAAAGCGUGGGGAGCAAACA